rnacentral:piRNA from 1 species
UGGGACUAGACCACUAGCAGGGGUAGCCUC